AACGAACGCUGGCGGCAUGCCUAACACAUGCAAGUCGAACGAUCCCUUCGGGGAUAGUGGCGCACGGGUGCGUAACGCGUGGGAACCUGCCCUUAGGUUCGGAAUAACUCAGAGAAAUUUGAGCUAAUACCGGAUAAUGUCUUCGGACCAAAGAUUUAUCGCCUUUGGAUGGGCCCGCGUUGGAUUAGCUAGUUGGUGGGGUAAAGGCCUACCAAGGCGACGAUCCAUAGCUGGUCUGAGAGGAUGAUCAGCCACACUGGGACUGAGACACGGCCCAGACUCCUGCGGGAGGCAGCAGUGGAGGAUAUUGGAGAAUGGGCGGAAGCCUGAUCCAGCAAUGCCGCGUAAGUGAUGAAGGCCUUAGAGUUGUAAAGCUCUUUUACCCGGGAUGAUAAUGACAGUACCGGGAGAAUAAGCCCCGGCUAAAUCCGUG
rnacentral:rRNA from 1 species